UACGAAGGGAGCUAGCGUUGUUCGGAAUCACUGGGCGUAAAGCGCACGUAGGCGGAUUUGUAAGUCAGGGGUGAAAUCCCGGGGCUCAACCUCGGAACUGCCUUUGAUACUGCAAGUCUCGAGUCCGGAAGAGGUGGGUGGAAUUCCUAGUGUAGAGGUGAAAUUCGUAGAUAUUAGGAAGAACACCGGUGGCGAAGGCGGCCCACUGGUCCGGUUCUGACGCUGAGGUGCGAAAGCGUGGGGAGCAAACAGG
rnacentral:rRNA from 1 species